rnacentral:rRNA from 1 species
CAUUAUUGAAAUAAACACGAUAGAUUGCUGCUGGUUCUUUAGUGAAUAUGUGCACAUCUGUUGUCUUUAUAUUUCCACUUGUGCAUCUUUUGUAGACUUGGAUAAGCCUUCUUAAUCCUAGGAUUAAGGUUUUGGGGAUUGACUUACUGUAGUCUAUCCUUGCAUUUCUCGGUCUAUGUUUAUUCAUAUACUCUAAUGUAUGGAAUGUAAUCAAUUGGGCUUUUAUGCCCUAUAACGAUAUAUACAACUUUCAGCAACGGAUCUCUUGGCUCUCGCAUCGAUGAAGAACGCAGCGAAAUGCGAUAAGUAAUGUGAAUUGCAGAAUUCAGUGAAUCAUCGAAUUUUUGAACGCACCUUGCACUCCUUGGUAUUCCGAGGAGUAUGCCUGUUUGAGUGUCAUUAAUAUAUCUCAACCUUAUUAGCUUUUUUGCUUGUUAAGUGUUGGAUGGUGGGGGCUUUAUUGCUGGUCUUUUAAGAGGUCAGCUCCCCUAAAAUGUAUUAGCAGAACCAUUUGUUAACCCGUUCAUUGGUGUGAUAAUUAUCUACGCUAUUGAUGGGUAAAGACUAGUUCAGCUUCUAAUAGUCUUAUUGACUCUUUGAUUAAUGUGACCUCAAAUCAGGUAGGACUACCCGCUGAACUUAAGCAUAUCAAUAAGCGGAGGAAAAGAAACUAACAAGGAUUCCCCUAGUAACUGCGAGUGAAGCGGGAAAAGCUCAAAUUUAAAAUCUGUUAGUCUUUGGCUAACCGAGUUGUAAUCUAGAGAAGUGUUAUCUGCACUGG